UACGUAGGGUGCAAGCGUUGUCCGGAAUUACUGGGCGUAAAGCGCACGUAGGCGGACUGAUAAGUCAGGGGUGAAAUCCCGGGGCUCAACCCCGGAACUGCCUUUGAUACUGUCAGUCUAGAGUUCGAGAGAGGUGAGUGGAAUUCCGAGUGUAGAGGUGAAAUUCGUAGAUAUUCGGAGGAACACCAGUGGCGAAGGCGGCUCACUGGCUCGAUACUGACGCUGAGGUGCGAAAGCGUGGGGAGCAAACAGG
rnacentral:rRNA from 1 species